rnacentral:lncRNA from 1 species
UUGAGAAUGAGAACCUCAUUAUUUUGUUGCUCUCUCAAAUCUAAAUCAUUUUGAUUUAUGAGGCCCAAAAUGCGGACUUAACAAUUCGAUUAUGAAUCGUUCGAUGCGUUGACACGUUGCAAUUGGUCCUCGGCCGAGUUAGCCCACGCCCAUCUGCUGGAAUCAUGUUAUGUGAAUAUGUAUAUAUAUGUGUAUAUAUUUAUAUAUAUAUAUAUAUAUAUCAGUGAGGUCUUUGCUCAUUCAUAUUUCAUAUGGGUUAUUUAGCCUUAAUAUUAUUGUAUGUAUAUAUAAAGUUUUUAGUUUUGAUUUUGUCCCACUCAUGGGCUGAUCUUCAAUUAAUUAAUUUUACGUCCUCAAGGUUGUCAGAGAACUUUGCGGCCUUUGCUGAGAAGAGUGUAUAUCUCGAAUAUUGUCAGUUGAUGUACGUAUUGGAAAGUAACUAAUAAGCAUAAAUUAUUUUCUGUCUUGCGUAUAUUUGUGAUUACUAGUAUGGGGUCAUAUUAAGAUAUAUUAUAUAUAACUUAUAUUAAUAAAAAAAUUAUGCUCAAUAAGUGUCGUUUGAUUAUUUAAUAUCUUGAAUUAUUAGGUAAAACUCCUAAAUUGGAAGUGUUAACUUAACCAUACCAUCGGUUACUUGUUUUUCAUCUGUUAUCACUAGAAAUUUUAAGUUUUUAACCCCAAGCUCUACAUGAUGACGAGGUAAAGCUGGCAACAUAUAACUAGCUAGCACUGGCUGGCAUCAGCACUUCUUUGAAAGUGUACUACAGAAGUACAGAUUGCAUAACCUAACUACUGAUCACUGACAUAUUUAAUUCUUUUGUGGCUGAUAGGAUUGAUGGUGAAAUGACUAAAAUGAGCGAUCAGUCCAUUCAUUGACAGGAUCAUGUUACAAUUAUCUUUUUUAUCAGUGGCAGUUCCGCAGUCGCAACUUGCUGGUCUUUCUGUCUCUCUAUUGACUUAUAAUUCAAGGGGGUGGCUGUUAGAUUCAAAGAUCCUUUCUAAUCAUCAAUUACAUUAAUCAUUAAUGUACAUCUAUUUUUUAAAAAUUAAGGGGAAUCAUUAAUAUCUGUUGAUUGCAUGCUGACAAAGAAAUAAUAUUCGGUUUUAAUAGUGCAUCUGAGUGGGUCAAGUGGGUUCUGUUGUUGGACCCGCUAAAUUUCUUUCAAAUGAAUACUCUGUCCCGUUAAAAGUGAG